GAUGAAGAACGUAGCGAAAUGCGAUACUUGGUGUGAAUUGCAGAAUCCCGUGAACCAUCGAGUCUUUGAACGCAAGUUGCGCCCGAAGCCAUUAGGCCGAGGGCACGCCUGCCUGGGUGUCACACACCGUUACCCUCGCGCCAACGUCCAUCGUUGGCCGCGGCGCGGGGCGUGCGCUGACCUCCCGCGAGCGGGGUCUCGUGGUUGGUUGAAAAUCGAGUUCGCGGUCGAGGGUGCCGUGAUGAAAUGGUGGAUGGGCGACGCCCGAGGCCAAUCACGCGCGACUCUGUCCGGCUCGGACUGCUGGACCCCUUCGGCGUCUCCGGACGCUCUUUGGCGAGACCUCAGGUCAGGCGGGGCUACCCGCUGAGUUUAAGCAUAUCAAUAAGCGGAGGA
rnacentral:misc_RNA from 1 species